ACGCUCUUCUGAUUUCUGGGGAAAGAGCACACCAGGCAGCAGGAACAGCAAGUGCAAAGGACCUGGGGUGGGAAUGGGAGUCAAAGAGCAGAAAGAUGGC